rnacentral:rRNA from 1 species
ACUAACAAGGAUUCCCCUAGUAACUGCGAGUGAAGCGGGAAAAGCUCAAAUUUAAAAUCUGGCGGUCUUUGGCCGUCCGAGUUGUAAUCUAGAGAAGUAAUGCCCGUGCUGGACCGUGUAUAAGUCUCCUGGGAUGGGGCGUCAUAGAGGGUGAGAAUCCCGUCUUUGACACGGACUACCAGUGCAUUGUGGUAUGCUCUCAAAGAGUCGAGUUGUUUGGGAAUGCAGCUCAAAAUGGGUGGUAAAUUCCAUCUAAAGCUAAAUAUUGGCGAGAGACCGAUAGCGAACAAGUACCGUGAGGGAAAGAUGAAAAGAACUUUGGAAAGAGAGUUAAACAGUACGUGAAAUUGCUGAAAGGGAAACGCUUGAAGUCAGUCGCGUUGGCCGGGAAUCAGCCUUGCUUUUGCAUGGUGUACUUUCUGGUCGACGGGUCAGCAUCAAUUUUGAUCACUGGAAAAGGCUCAAGGGAAUGUGGCAGCUUCGGCUGUGUUAUAGCCCCUGUUCACAUACAGUGGUUGGGAUUGAGGAACUCAGCACGCCGCAAGGCCGGGUUUCGACCACGUUCGUGCUUAGGAUGCUGGCAUAAUGGCUUUAAGCGACCCGUCUUGAAACACGGACCAAGGAGUCUAACAUGCCUGCGAGUAUUUGGGUGGAAAACCCAGGUGCGCAAUGAAAGUGAAAGUUGAGAUCCCUGUCGUGGGGAGCAUCGACGCCCGGACCAGAACUUUUGGGACGGAUCCGCGGUGGAGCAUGUAUGUUGGGACCCGAAAGAUGGUGAACUAUGCCUGAAUAGGGUGAAGCCAGAGGAAACUCUGGUGGAGGCUCGUAGCGAUUCUGACGUGCAAAUCGAUCGUCAAAUUUGGGUAUAGGGGC